rnacentral:rRNA from 1 species
GACAGAGGGGGCAAGCGUUGCUCGGAAUUACUGGGCGUAAAGGGCGCGUAGGCGGGAUGGCAAGUCGGUCGUGAAAUCCCUCGGCUCAACCGAGGAACGUCGAUCGAUACUGCUGUUCUUGAGGAUUGCAGAGGAGACUGGAAUUCCCGGUGUAGCGGUGAAAUGUGUGGAGAUCGGGAGGAACACCGGUGGCGAAGGCGGGUCUCUGGGAAGUAACUGACGCUGAGAAGCGAAAGCAUGGGUAGCAAACAGG